GAGAGUAAACAGUGCGUGAAACCGCUCAGAGGUAAACGGGUGGAGUUGAACUGCGAUCCUUGGGAAUUCAGCUGAUGAGUAUGAUUUGUGCUUGGGCAUAUUGGCCGCCUUUCAGUGUCUGCUUAAUUGCGGGUGCCUGCCUCUGGUGGGUAUGUGUGGUGCGCUUAUCAGGUGCUGCACGCAUUGGAGGGUGUAUGGGUCUGCUUGUCAGUGCACUUUCUCAGGGUGUUCACCACGACCGGCGCUGCUGUCUGUCUGCUGUAGUCAAACUGAUCAGGUCUGAUUAACGUUGGGCUUGGUUGGGUUGGCAGGUGACUCACUGGUCCACUCUGUGGGCUAUGAGUGUUACUAGCCGGCUAUAGUGGAUCUGUACGGUGUGUCGGAGACGGCGGCUUGGCAUAUGCGCUCUGUCCUUCAGGCGUGGUUGAGUCUGGUCAGCUUGUUGCUAGUUUCGGCUGGUCAGUUGAUGGCUUGAUCAUGUUCAGUUGGCAGUGGUGUGUGUGUCUUAGUUUGGGCCAAUAGUCUGUGGUGUUGUGGUAGACUAUCCACCUG
rnacentral:rRNA from 1 species